rnacentral:rRNA from 1 species
UGCCAGGAGCCGCGGUAAUACGGAGGGUGCAAUCGUGAUCCGGAAUCAUUGGGUUUAAAGGGUCCGCAGGCGGACGUAUAAGUCAGUGGUGAAAUCCUGCAGCUUAACUGCAGAACUGCCAUUGAUACUGUACGUCUUGAAUUCGGUCGAAGUGGGCGGAAUGUGUAGUGUAGCGGUGAAAUGCAUAGAUAUUGACACAGAACACCGAUAGCGAAGGCAGCUCACUAGGCCUGGAUGGAAGCGCAGGGAAGAAAGCGUGGGGCUCGAACAGGAGUAGAUA